rnacentral:rRNA from 1 species
GAUGAACGCUGGCGGCGUGCCUAAUACAUGCAAGUCGAGCGAACGGACGAGAAGCUUGCUUCUCUGAUGUUAGCGGCGGACGGGUGAGUAACACGUGGAUAACCUACCUAUAAGACUGGGAUAACUUCGGGAAACCGGAGCUAAUACCGGAUAAUAUUUUGAACCGCAGGGUUCAAAAGUGAAAGACGGUCUUGCUGUCACUUAUAGAUGGAUCCGCGCUGCAUUAGCUAGUUGGUAAGGUAACGGCUUACGAAGGCAACGAUGCAUAGCCGACCUGAGAGGGUGAUCGGCCACACUGGAGCUGGGACACGGACCAGACUCCUACGGGAGGCAGCAGUAGGGAAUCUUACGCAAUGGGCGAAAGCCUGACGGAGCAACGCCGCGUGAGUGAUGAAGGUCUUCGGAUCGUAAAACUCUGUUAUUAGGGAAGAACAUAUGUGUAAGUAACUGUGCACAUCUUGACGGUACCUAAUCGGAAAGCAACGGCUAACUACGUG